rnacentral:rRNA from 1 species
UAAGGAAUAUUGGUCAAUGGACGCAAGUCUGAACCAGCCAUGCCGCGUGGAGGAUUAAGGCCCUCUGGGUUGUAAACUCCUUUUAUCUGGGAAGAAAUGUUCUGAUUCUUCGGAACUUGACGGUACCAGAGGAAUAAGCACCGGCUAACUCCGUGCCAGCAGCCGCGGUAAUACGGAGGGUGCAAGCGUUAUCCGGAUUCACUGGGUUUAAAGGGUGCGUAGGUGGGCAGGUAAGUCCGUGGUGAAAUCUCUGAGCUUAACUCAGAAACUGCCGUGGAUACUAUCUGUCUUGAAUAUUGUGGAGGUAAGCGGAAUAUGUCAUGUAGCGGUGAAAUGCUUAGAUAUGACAUAGAACACCAAUUGCGAAGGCAGCUUACUACACAGUAAUUGACGCUGAGGCACGAAAGCGUGGGGAUCAAACAG